UUUUCUGAGGGUUAUUCCCAGUUUUCCAAGCGUUAUUCCCACUUUUCCAUGAAUUAUUCCCAAUUUUCUGAGGGUUCUUCCUAGUUUUCCGGGGGUUAUUCCCAUUUUUCCGGGGGUUAUUCCCACUUUUCCACGAAUUAUUCCCACUUUUCCAUGAAUUAUUCCCACUUUUCCAUGAAUUAUUCCCAAUUUUCUGAGGGUUCUUCCCGGUUUUCCAAGGGUCUUUCCCAUUUUUCCGAGGGUUCUUCCCAAUUUUCCGAGAUUUAUUCCCAUUUUGCUCAUGUUCUUCCCAGUUUUCCAGGAGUUAUUCCCAUUUUUCUGUGAGUUAUUCCCAAUUUUCCAACAAUUAUUCCCAAUGUUCCAAAGGUUAUUCCCAUUUUUCUGGGGGUUAUUUCCCAUUUUCCAAGAAUUAUUCCCAUUUUCCGGGGUUAUUCCCAUUUUUCCAAGGAUUAUUCCCAUUUUUCUGAGUUAUUCCCACUUUUCUGAGAAUUAUUUAUGUUUUUCCCGGGGGUUAUUCCCAUUUUUCCAGGGGUUAUUCCCAAAUUUUCCAAGAAUUUUUCCCAUUUCUUGGGGGUUAUUCCCAUUUUCCAAGGAUUAUUCCCAUUUUUUCUGCGAAUUAUUCCCGAUUUUUCCAGGAUAAUUCCCAUUUUUCUGAGUGUUAUUUCAAAUUUUCAAUAAUUAUUCCCGUUUUCCAGGUUUAUUCCAAAUUUUCUCGAAGUUAUUCCCGUUUUUCUGUGAGUUUUCCCAUUUUUCCUGGAUUUAUUCCCGUUUUUCCAAGAAUUAUUCCCGUUUUUCCGAGGGUUAUUCCCAAUUUUCCCGGGGUCUCGGGUUCCAAUAUUUAAUAUAAAUAAAGACGUGUGAAUAUU